ACAAGGUUUCUAUACAAAAACUCCUGUGUGCCGUACAUACAAUGUAAUGAUGCUGAGCAAACGGGGAAAAGGAACAACUGCAUAUACUCUCAUCUCCUCUAUCUAAAAUGCAUGUUUGAUGCUUUCAUAUGUCAACACUUUAACUAACGUUAGCUUGAAGAGCUUAUUUACCUGUUGGGCCACAGACU